GACGAACGCUGGCGGCGUGCUUAACACAUGCAAGUCGAACGGAAAGGCCCUGCUUUUGUGGGGUGCUCGAGUGGCGAACGGGUGAGUAAAACGUGAGUAACCUGCCCUUGACUUUGGGGUAACUUCAGGAAACUGGGGCUAAUACCGGAUAGGAGCUCCUGCUGCAUGGUGGGGGUUGGAAAGUUUCGGCGGUUGGGGAUGGACUCGCGGCUUAUCAGCUUGUUGGUGGGGUAGUGGCUUACCAAGGCUUUGACGGGUAGCCGGCCUGAGAGGGUGACCGGCCACAUUGGGACUGCGAUACGGCCCAGACUCCUACGGUCGGCAGCAGUGGGGAAUAUUGCACAAUGGGCGGAAGCCAGAUGCAGCAACGCCGCGUGCGGGAUGACGGCCUUCGGGUUGUAAACCGCUUUCUCCUGUGACGAAGCGUGAGUGACGGUAAUGGGUAAAGAAGCACCGGCUAACUACGUG
rnacentral:rRNA from 1 species